UUUAGCCCAUUUGAAUUAGGAUCCAUCAAUUUAAAGUUGUUUUUAAUAAUAUAACCCCAGAAAAAUCAAAAAAGAAAAUAAAGUUAAAAUGGCCUUAUUACAACCCAAAAAUUAAAUAGUAAUUAAAAAUAACUUAAGAAAACCAGUCUCUUUUUUCAAAUCCAAAAGUAUUCACCAUGUCCACUCUGAAUCCCCUCCAGCUCCAAGUCACCCACAUCAAGGCUCACCUGCAAGGUUAAAGAAGAGGUGAGUUUGGGCAAACUCAGUGUGUAAGGAAAACCCAUUCAAAGCCCAAGUCAGCUCAAGCCCAUUGGGCCUAAGCCCAUUCAGGUUACAGUGAUACUGGGCCAGAGCCCUUUUCAGAUUACAAUAAACUGAGCCUUAGCCCCUUAUUCAGAUAACCGUAUGGCCCAUAGGCCCAUUUCAAAAUACAUGCAACAUCAGUAAAUAUAUACAAGCCCAUUUGAGGAGACUACUCAACCCACCAACCACUACACUCCACCCGUACCAGCCAUACACUCCAUGUGGGGAAUAGAUCAACCCACCCAGCCCAACACUCCACAGUUGCAGCCUUGCUGCUCAGUUAACAGUAAAUUGAGACAGUCUCCAGUACGUGGACAAGCCACUUUCAGUACUUCCUCCAUCAAUAUCCUAAUCCCAUGCAUCAUAUAAUAAUAUUGCAUGCAGUAAAUAACAACAGUCAAACAUGAAUUUAGGUCAAUUUAACCCUAGGGGUAUUUCGAUAAUUUAUCUUCUAGGGCUAAAACUAUAAAUUUUUAAAGGUAUUUCAGUAAUUUAUCUAUUUUAGGGUUUUUCAUACAUAUUCCUACCUUUCACGUACUAACAGAAUCACUACCGAAGGUUCUUACCGAAUUGGGCCCAUUGGCCCAUCAUUCCAAUUUUGGCCCAUUAAGCCCAAAAAUAUCAAGGGCACAAAAAUCAUGCACUUUGCAGUCCAAACAUUGCAGUUUACCAAAAACAUUAAUCGAUUUACCUCACAAGCAUUCGCACACUUGCAAAUCUACAAAAUAUCGAUUUUCGGCAUUUCGACAUUUCAGCUUUUCGACUUUUGCCGAUCUAGACUAAGAAAGAGGGUGUUAGUUACACACCUGUUUGCGACGAUAUGCUGACGAGAUCCACACACAAACCGCUUACAAUUGGAUUACUAACACAUUAAUCUAACCAUUCAAAUACAAACUACGUAUUAACCCCUUACAAUAUUCGGCCAACCACACCUACAGAUCAUAGUAAGCUUGUAAGAAAUCAAUAAGCAACUCAUUAACAAAUUUUUGUCAAUGUUUAUCAUAUAAUCAUAAUUUCACUGCAAGUUGUCUUCCUGAACAACAGUCACUAAAUCAUUUAUAACUGGAGCUAUGAAACUUCAAAUCAAGUGCCAUUAAUUUUUCCUGAAAAUAGACUCAUAUAUACUCUAUCUAUAAAAUUUUCAGAAUUUUUGGUAUGGCCAAUCAAUACCAAAUUUUUCUUAAAGUUAAUCUGAUCACUCUUCAUUACAAAUCAAAUUUCUCAUUGUACAGAAUUCAAAAUAUGUUCUCGUUUAUUUCAUUUGAAACUAGACUCAUUAAGCUUUAAUUACAUAAUCUAUUCAGCUUCUAAUUCAUCUCCCAUAAUUUAUGGUGAUUUUCCAAAGUCACGUUACUGCUGCUGUCUCAAACAGAUUUAUUACCAAAUCACUCUUUCAUACACCUAUCUUGCAUGUAUGUUAUUUAAACAUGUAUAUCACCAAUCAAUCAUCACAUAUCUAUGAUUUUUACUUAAACAUAAUCUCCAUUUCAUCAUUUUAAAGCACACGUUAGCCGAUUUUUCCCUUUAGCAUCUAAGGCACAUGCAUGAUCAUUUGUUUGGCUCAACUUCACCUAUCUUCCAUUUUUCAUCAAAAGAACAUGAAACAACAACCAUUUCCUUCAUUUUAAUUCAUGACCAAAUGCUUACAACACAACCAAAAAUCAAAAUAUGCUUCAAGAGUUAAAGGUAGAAUCAAGAAGAACUCAUGAACAUCAAAAUAAAAGCAACUACCAUGAACUUACCUUGAAUUUUUUUUUCUUUUCCAAGUGACCGAAUAUUGAAAAGCUCUUUUCCUCUCCUUUCUCUUCUAUUUUCGGCUAUCAUCAACAAGGAUGAACAAAAACCUUCCUUUACUUCUUUUUUGUUAUUCUAUUACUAAACAUUUUAUGACACAAAAUAACAUAUAUUAUUUGCGCCAUACCUAUGCCAUAACUCCAAUAAAAAUAUGCCCAUAAUGCUUAUCAUGCCUAUCAUGGAACAUUUUCCUAACCCAUUAUCAAUUUUUAUCAAUUUAUACCAUAAAUUAUUAAUAUUAAGUACACAUAUUGUCUACCACCAACAUGAUGGCCGGCCACUUCAUGUAAAAU
rnacentral:lncRNA from 1 species